rnacentral:rRNA from 1 species
UACGUAGGGUGCAAGCGUUGUCCGGAAUUAUUGGGCGUAAAGAGCUCGUAGGCGGUCUGUCGCGUCGGCUGUGAAAACCCGGGGCUCAACCCCGGGCCUGCAGUCGAUACGGGCAGACUAGAGUGUGGUAGGGGAGACUGGAAUUCCUGGUGUAGCGGUGAAAUGCGCAGAUAUCAGGAGGAACACCGGUGGCGAAGGCGGGUCUCUGGGCAACAACUGACGCUGAGGAGCGAAAGCGUGGGGAGCGAACAGG